GAUGAACGCUAGCUACAGGCUUAACACAUGCAAGUCGAGGGGCAGCAUUUCGCUAGCAAUAGUGAAGAUGGCGACCGGCGCGACGGGUGAGCAACACGUAUCCAACCUGCCGAUAACUCGGGGAUAGCCUUUCGAAAGAAAGAUUAAUAUCCGAUGGUAUAUUAAAACCGCAUGGUUUUACUAUUAAAGAAUUUCGGUUAUCGAUGGGGAUGCGUUCCAUUAGAUAGUAGGCGGGGUAACGGCCCACCUAGUCUUCGAUGGAUAGGGGUUCUGAGAGGAAGGUCCCCCACAUUGGAACUGAGACACGGUCCAAACUCCUACGGGAGGCAGCAGUGAGGAAUAUUGGUCAAUGGGCGAGAGCCUGAACCAGCCAAGUAGCGUGAAGGAUGAAGGUCCUACGGAUUGUAAACUUCUUUUAUACGGGAAUAAAGUAUCCUACGUGUAGGAUUUUGUAUGUACCGUAUGAAUAAGCAUCGGCUAACUCCGUG
rnacentral:rRNA from 1 species